AGACCCGAAACCCGGUGAUCUAGCCAUGGGCAGGUUGAAGGUUGGGUAACACUAACUGGAGGACCGAACCGACUAAUGUUGAAAAAUUAGCGGAUGACCUGUGGCUGGGGGUGAAAGGCCAAUCAAACCGGGAGAUAGCUGGUUCUCCCCGAAAGCUAUUUAGGUAGCGCCUCGUGAAUUCAUCUCCGGGGGUAGAGCACUGUUUCGGCUAGGGGGCCAUCCCGGCUUACCAACCCGAUGCAAACUGCGAAUACCGGAGAAUGUUAUCACGGGAGACACACGGCGGGUGCUAACGUCCGUCGUGAAGAGGGAAACAACCCAGACCGCCAGCUAAGGUCCCAAAGUCAUGGUUAAGUGGGAAACGAUGUGGGAAGGCCCAGACAGCCAGGAUGUUGGCUUAGAAGCAGCCAUCAUUUAAAGAAAGCGUAAUAGCUCACUGGUCGAGUCGGCCUGCGCGGAAGAUGUAACGGGGCUAAACCAUGCACCGAAGCUGCGGCAGCGAACGUAUCACCCAAGACAACUUUACGGAGUUGACGAUUGACGGAGCGAAGCGACGUCAAAGCGUUCAUUAAAGUCGAGUUGGCUUAGGGGUACGUUCGUUGGGUAGGGGAGCGUUCUGUAAGCCUGUGAAGGUGUGUCGUGAGGCAUGCUGGAGGUAUCAGAAGUGCGAAUGCUGACAUAAGUA
rnacentral:rRNA from 1 species